UAAAUGCAAAAAGGAACUUGAAGCUAUUGGAAACAAUACCCAUUUAAACCUUUGAAGUUUCUUGAAAAGACAUUGAGGUUAACGUUUGAAGAAGGGGUUCAAAUUCUUAAGGAAGCUGGUGUGGAGAUUGAUCCUCUUGGCGAUCUAAACACUGAAUCUCAGAGAAAACUUGACCAACUUGUACUGGAAAAGUAAUCCAUCACUUAUUUUAGUUUUCAAAAUGAUUUAGUUAUUUAUCUCAGAGUUACAAAGUUGUUAAUUUAAUUUUUUUUUUUUUUUUUAAGAAACCCACUUAAGGAUUCUACCAUUGGACAAAGAAAAUUUUAAGGAUUCAUAAGAAACUCUUAAUUUUAAAA